rnacentral:rRNA from 1 species
AUGUCGACCGCGAAAGUGGUGGAUCCUGCUUUCCAAGGGGCUGGCCAAAAAGUUGGGAUAGAAAUAUGGCGGAUUGAAGAUUUUAAGCCAGUUGCAUUGCCAAAAUCUGAUUAUGGUAAAUUCUAUUCUGGAGAUUCAUAUAUAGUUUUGCAGACAACUUCUCCUAAGGGUGGUGCAUAUCUGUACGACGUCCACUUCUGGAUUGGGAAAGACUCAAGCCAAGAUGAAGCUGGCACUGCAGCAAUCAAGACGGUCGAACUCGAUUCUGUACUUGGGGGUCGUGCAGUCCAGUAUAGGGAACUCCAAGGUUAUGAAUCUGACAAGUUCCUGUCAUACUUCAAACCUUGCAUUAUACCCAUGGAGGGUGGUUUCGCCUCUGGGUUCAAAACGCCAGAAGAGGAGACGUUUGAAACACGGUUAUAUAUUUGCAAAGGAAAGAGAGCUAUUAGAAUUAAGCAGGUUCCCUUUGCACGGUCAUCAUUAAACCAUGAUGAUGUGUUUAUCUUAGAUACUGAAAAUAAAAUUUAUCAAUUCAAUGGUGCAAACUCCAAUAUCCAAGAAAGGGCUAAAUCACUGGAAGUGAUCCAACAUUUAAAGGAGAAGUACCAUGGGGGUGUGUGUGAUGUUGCAAUCGUUGAUGAUGGAAAACUACAAGCGGAAUCAGACUCUGGUGAAUUCUGGGUCCUUUUUGGAGGUUUUGCACCUAUUGGGAAAAAAACUGUUAGUGAUGACGAUGUUGUACUGGAAACUACAGCACCCAAGCUCUACAGUAUCAAUGACGGUGAAUUAAAGUUUGAAGAUAUACCUCUUACAAAAGCAGUCCUUGAGAACACAAGAUGUUUCUUACUUGACUGCGGGGCUGAAAUGUUUGUAUGGGUUGGUCGGGUAACACAACUCGAGGACAGAAAAGCUGCCACUAAAGCAGUUGAGGAAUUCAUCAUUAAUCAGAAAAGGCCAAAGACAACAAGAGUGACACAAGUGAUUCAGGGUUAUGAAAGCCAUGCAUUCAAGUCAAAAUUUGAAUCAUGGCCGGCGGGUACUGCAACAGGGAACUCAGGUGCAGAGGAUGGGCGGGGAAAAGUUGCAGCUUUAUUGAAGCAACAAGGCGUUGAUGUAAAGGGAGCUCCAAAAAGCAGCACUCCAGUAAACGAGGAAGUUCCUCCUUUGCUUGAAGGUGGUGGAAGACUCGAGGUGUGGUGCAUCGAUGGAAAUACUAGGAGUCCACUUCCAAAAGAGGACAAUGGAAAAUUUUACAGUGGAGACUGUUAUAUUGUUCUUUAUACAUAUCAUUCGGGUGACAAGAAAGAAGAAUAUUAUCUCAAUUACUGGAUCGGGAAGGAAAGCACAGCGGAUGAUCAAGUGAUGGGAGCUGAACUAGCCAAUACAAUGUGGAAUUCACUGAAAGGAAGGCCUGUUCUGGGUCGUAUUUAUCAAGGGAAGGAACCACCGCAAUUUGUUGCUCUUUUCCAGCCCAUGGUUAUCUUGAAGGGUGGUAUCAGUUCUGGAUACAAGAAGAUUACAGAAGAAAAGGGUGCGGCCAGUGGAUCUUACUCUCCCGAUGGCAUAGCUCUGUUUCGGGUGUCUGGAACAGCUAUCCAUAACAAUAAAACGCUUCACGUUGACGCGCUAGCUACAUCUUUAAGUUCCACAGACUGUUUUGUAUUGCAAACUGGAAGUGCUAUGUUUACAUGGCAUGGCAAUUCUAGCACUUACGAGCAACAGCAGUGGGCAGCGAAAGUUGCUGAAUUCUUGAAGCCUGGUGCGACAGUGAAACAUUGCAAGGAGGGAACAGAGAGUUCUGCUUUCUGGUUUGCUCUUGAUGGAAAACAGAGCUAUACAAGCAAACCCAUCAUGCAGGAUACUAUUGUCAGAGAUCCUCAUUUGUAUGCCUUCUCAAUUAGGAAAGGGAGACUGGAGGUUACCGAGAUCUUCAAUUUUUGCCAAGAUGAUAUGUUGACUGAAGACUUGAUGAUUCUUGACACACACGGAGAGGUCUUUAUUUGGAUUGGUCAGUGUGUGGAACCAAAAGAGAAACAAAAGGCGUUCGAAAUUGGCCAGAAAUACAUAGAGCAUGCGAUGUCGAUUGAAGAUCUUUCCCCUUAUGUACCACUUUACAAAGUCUCUGAAGGGAAUGAACCAUGCUUCUUCAAGACAUACUUCUCUUGGGAUAACACAAAAUCUGUGAUUCAUGGGAAUUCGUUCCAAAAGAAACUUUCACUUCUUUUUGGAUUACGCUCAGAGGGUGCAUCUAGGAGCUCUGGUAAUGGUGGACCCACUCAAAGGGCAUCUGCAUUAGCAGCUCUAUCAUCUGCAUUCAAUCCAUCUUCGCAGCCUAAGCAGGCUAACGAUAGUAGGCCUCCAAGCAGUUCGGGUGAUGGACCCACUCAACGUGCCUCUGCACUGGCUGCCUUGUCCUCAUCUGCAUUCAAUCCAACUCCGCAGCAGAAGCAGGCUACUGAUAGCAGGCCUCCAAGCUCGGGUGAUGGACCCACUCAACGUGCCUCUGCACUGGCUGCCUUGUCCAAUGCGUUUAAUCCAUCCUCAAAACCAAAAACUCCACCUCCGUCACGUUCAGGUCAAGGGUCACAAAGAGCAGCUGCAGUUGCUGCGCUAUCCUCUGUGCUGACUGCUGAGCAGUCUGGAUCAUCUGACAAUCUCAGAGCUAGCAAGACGAGCACAACAUCAGAAAAGACUGAAGCGGAGGUCGUCGUAAUAUCUCCAUCGGAGGCAUCUCCUCGCUCUGAAGCUGGGGAAUCCUCUGAAUUUCAGUCAGAGAAAGAUGUUGCAGUGGAUGAGGUGCCAUCCGAGGUAGAUGUAGCAGAGCCUGAGGCGCUGGAGGUGCCAGAGGAACAAGAAACUGAGCAUGUUGGUGAAGCAACAUUUAGCUAUGACCGCUUGAUAUCUAAAUCUACUGAUCCUAUCCGUGGGAUAGACUACAAACGCAGAGAGGCGUACUUAUCAGAGAGCGAGUUCCAGACCGUCUUCGGCAUCACCAAGGACGCGUUCUACCAGCAGCCAGGGUGGAAGCAAGAGCUGCAGAAGCGGAAAGCCGACCUCUUUUGA